GGGCUGGCAGCACAGUCUGUGGGGCCAGAAGCUGUGGAUGUUCAAGAUCUCAUUGAGAAGCCUUUCGAGACUCUUGAGCAGCUUAAGACCUUCUGUGAACAGCUCGACACUGAUCUUCUGCUCAGAAAGCAGCUGGUGAAAGCUCUUACUGCUCUUGGUGGGCAGAAUUUGGCAGACACGGUGAGGACAAUGCUGAGGAAAAUUGCCACAAACCAAGUCCUGGAGCAGCUUGGUCUCCGUGGAAAGACAGGCAAAGUGGCGUUUGAGGACUUGCCCUUUUACAGAAUAAUAAUAAAGGCAUGCAGGGGUGUUUACAAACAGACGACCACAGCUGAAGUAGAUUGUGAGCUUGGAGAGGUCCUGAAACUGGCCACUUUUUGAAAGGGAGGUUCAAAGUUUGAGG